CCUGAGCAACUCCAUUUUGAAAAAGAGACUCCAUCUCAGAGCAGAUGGCCUGGGCAUAAACUCCAGCCCCAAGAGAAAGCCACAAGAUGUGCUUUGGCCACCUGCCCCUAACGGUAUUUAGUAACCACCCAUAGUAACAGCCAAUCAGCGAAUCUUGGGAAAUCACCCUAGGUCCCAAGAUGUUCCCUUUGAGUGCUUAACCAACCUUUUGGGGUUUGGCCCAUAAAGGACAUCCAAUCAGGUUUGAACACCAGUUGCCUGCUAAAUGCCAACCAAUCAUAAAACUGCCAAGCUGGAAUUCCCCGAACCCUGCUGUAACCACAAUAAAAACCCAGCUGAUAUGAAAUUCGGGGCUCUCAAUCCAGAUCCUCUGCGUCGGUGACGGUUGUGAGCCCCUGCUCGAGCUUGAAUAAACGACCCUCGUGUGUUAGCAUCGGAAUCUGCUCCUUGGUGGUCUUUGGGGACUUCGCGAUCUGGGCAUAACAAGGGAACCAACUGCAGAGAGGAGCUCAGCAGAGUGGGAUCUAGGUAAUAAAGGACAGAUGAGAGCAGUUGUGUUUGAGAGAAAUCAUGGUCCACCUAGAAGGGUCUCCAAACGCUGGGCUCCCGUUGCAUACUGACUGCAGAAGACACAUGCACAUCGUUUCUCUGCUCUUUCCCUCUUCCUUCUGUGCCCCAUCAUCAGCCUGGAAUGCUUCUUAUUCUGCAUUUAGAUACAAACAAAAGGAUUUGUCCUAGACACCCAAGAACAAGCCAGAACGAAGCUCUUUCCCGCCAAACGAAGACCAGGAAAUCAACAGCGCCUGCCCAGGCUCCGGGGGGCAAGAGUCGGGAGAAGGAUAGGGCGUGGCAAAAAGAAGUAACAUGGAGGGAAGGAAGGAAAAACCAGACUUUCUUCAUGAGAGCCUUGGAGGUGCAAUGCUUGUUACCCUCCUGCAGUGUGGUGCCUUCUCCAAGCCCUGGAUGGAAGAGGAAAGAGUUGGAAGUUGGGAGCCUCCUGAAAAGCUGCCUAUGAAGUGGUAAAAGCUGAAGAAACUGGUACCCUGACUGGAGUAGAUGGCCAAUGACCAGAAUUGAAUCACCUGGCAUCUGGCUUUUCUUGAUAUUAGUUCCGGAUUUAUGUGAAAGGGUCCUUUAACGUCUCCAAGAAUGGUUCCAAUAGAGUUGGCGGAGAUAACAGAUGUGUAUCACUUUGGUAGAGAUGCUCUUUAAAAGAAGAAAGCCAGCCAUAUUUGCUUAGGUCUAGGACCCCUCCUUGGUGGUUGAUGAAGGAGGGAGGAAGGUACAACCCCAAGCCGAAUAGGCCCCCCAUAGUUUCCUAGUAAUGCAGUAAACAAAUCUAUGAUGCUUGUUGAAUAAUCUUCCAAUAAUUGCAGUCAUUAAAAUCAUCACACAGUCUACCGUCACCUUCCUUCCUUUGACAUACCAGUCUUCCCUUUAAUUGUUAAUGCAUUUUUGGUUCACAUAAACAGAUCAAGGCAAGCUUAAAAUAUAUGGCCCAGAUAAGAUACAUGUGGCAAAAAAAAAUUACUUGUGUACCAAACGUUUGGACUGUAUUUAAGAGACUAGUGGUUUUCAGUUUUUCCAGCAGGCUUUACAGAGGCAAGGAAGAUUCGUACCUCCUACCCCUCUAAAUAGCAGUAACACCUCCGAGGUAGGAAAAUUUUUUUAAAAAGAUGAAAGUCUCAUUGGCCUAUUGAUUCUUCCUGGCUCUUUUAUUUGCAAGGAUUGGGUUGUAAAGAGGGAGGGCAUUAUAGAACAAAUAUUAAAUGAAAGCUUAACGAAAAUUGUAGGAGAGUUCUGCAAUUUUCAAUUAAUUUUCUUGAUCCAUUUGAUCUCAAUGCUGGUGCUUUUAAAGAUACAAAUAUACAUUAACUAUAAAAGAUUCUCUUCUAAUCAAAGGCUGCAUUUCAUUUUCACUCACACUGACAAACUCCAACUGCGGAAGGGAUUCACAAACUCAACAGGCACUAUGGACUGUCCUGGGCUUCCUUUGCCCUUGCUCCUGGAUGGCACUGAGACACCAAGGGCAGCUCUUUUUUUUUUCUUUUUAAUUCAAGCUAUUAAUGUAUCUCCCCAACUCCCACAUCUU
ensembl:lncRNA